rnacentral:rRNA from 1 species
UACGUAGGGGGCAAGCGUUGUCCGGAUUUAUUGGGCGUAAAGAGCGUGUAGGCGGCCUGAAAGGUCAGCUGUGAAAACUCGAGGCUCAACCUCGAGACGUCGGUUGAAACCAUCUGGCUAGAGUCCGGAAGAGGAGUGUGGAAUUCCCGGUGUAGCGGUGAAAUGCGCAGAUAUCGGGAAGAACACCCGUGGCGAAGGCGGCACUCUGGGCAAUAACUGACGCUGAGGAGCGAAAGCGUGGGGAGCGAACAGG